rnacentral:rRNA from 1 species
UACGGAGGGUGCAAGCGUUAUCCGGAUUCACUGGGUUUAAAGGGUGCGUAGGUGGCCUUAUAAGUCAGUGGUGAAAUCUCUCAGCUUAACUGAGAAAUUGCCAUUGAUACUGUAGGGCUUGAGUACAGAUGCCGUUGGCGGAAUAUGACAUGUAGUGGUGAAAUACAUAGAGAUGUCAUAGAACACCGAUUGCGAAGGCAGCUGACGAAACUGUAACUGACACUGAGGCUCGAAAAGUGCGGGGAUCAAACAGG